GUGCUCACUUCAGCAGCACAUAUACUAAAAUUGGAACAAUACAAAGAGAAUUAGCAUGGCCCCUGUGCAAGGAUGACAAGCAAAUCCGUGAAGUGUUCCAUUAAAAA